rnacentral:lncRNA from 1 species
GUCAGGGUUAGGUGCAGGUGUGUGGGCCAUGUAUGCACAGAGUGACAGGGUCAGAGUGACGGACCAUAGGCUGGGACAAAAGUGAGGAGAUGGAGGGAUACAAGGUAGGGGCAGCCCGGGUGGGCAGAGAGAAGUGAGCUGGAAGGUGAAGGUUGGCCAGAAAGCCUGCAGCGGGUGUUCUGAGCCACUGUGGCUAAUGGCAGUGGAGAGAGACUUCCAAACUCUCCGUUAGCUGAAGCCAGAUAAAGGACAAGGUCACUGGCAGGGAUGAGGGUGUUGGAGAAUAUGUUUGUGUGACUUUGAAAUCCCUAGGAACAAUGAAAGUAUGCUGAAAGGGACAGCCAGCUGGUGCCCAAAACCCUUGAUGGACGAGGGCAAGAGUCCAUAAAUGAUGGCCACUGGCUGAGUUGGGAGGAGGGGACCACACCUGCCUGGAUGUGGUGGGAGGCUGUUAGUGACAGCCAUGCCGAGACACAGGGGUCUCCAGGAGAGGCCAGGACGGCCUUCACAGAUGGAGGGGUGUCCCACAGGAGCGGAGGUCAGGCAGGGAGGCCAUGGCUACUCUGAUUUCCAGAGCACAGAGUGGGUGGAGCACAGGCCUGGGAGCUUGCAUCAGGGUGGAGGAUGAGCCAGCCCCAGGGAAACAGUGGUCCCAAGGAGGGCAGCCAGAGAAGCUGGGGUUUCCUAUGGAAAUGGCGGCAGAGCUGUGAGGUGGGUGGGUACCACCAUCGUGGUCCUUAGGCGAAGAUGCUUGGCCCGCUCCAGUGCUACCUGCUUCUUGAUGCUGGUCUCCGGACCAGCAGGGAGGGGACUCCUGGGGAUGGGAGAGAUGCAGAGAGGACAGGGAGUGUGGUGGCCUUACCAAGAAGGAGAUGCUGUGUGACCCCUGGACCACCUGGAGUUUUUAAACCCAGCGGACUUGCUGACCCAGGGCAGGAAUGCAAGGGCCAGGACGGCCAAGCUGGGCGAGGCUGGGAACAGCCGGAAGGUUCUGGGGUCCCCUGGAGGAGCCUGCCCCCCGUGCCUCUCUGUAGGCGGAAGGCAGACAGGGCCGUGCCCUCCAUAGCACCAGAGACGCUCUCACGCAGGCAACAGAGCUGCGCCCAGAUCCCCGCCUCUCCACUGCCACUCCCUGUCUGCGAGUUAAGAACAAAGGUUGAAGCUGCCGUCUGCUGUCUUUAUCUACUCUAUUCCGUGCAGCCCAUGAGGGCAAAUCUGCC